rnacentral:lncRNA from 1 species
GUUCAUUCCCAGUUUACCCGUAGAUAUAAGUCGUUUUUUUUCAUGGCACUGAUGCUCUGGAAUUUCCAGGAAUAUCCUCCAGACCAAACAGGGCUGGUGUUCAGGCUUUAAAAUGGAUGCCUACAUGAACACAGCCUUGUUCCCCUGAAGUUCACCCUUCGCGAAAGGCACCCUUCUUUCCACAGCAGAAGGGAUGGUCGGCAGCUACGCCCAUCUGCGAGGCCAGAUUCUGCUCUGAGUUACACAAGAGUAACCCCAUUAACUUCAGCAGCGCUAAAGGCACAGGAAAGAGCAAAAUCUAGACUUUGUUCACCUAUGUUUCAAAAAGCC